ACGCUCGACACCUACGGGAGGCAGCAGUAGGGAAUCUUCCACAAUGGACGCAAGUCUGAUGGAGCAACGCCGCGUGAGUGAAGAAGGUCUUCGGAUCGUAAAACUCUGUUGUUAGAGAAGAACACGAGUGAGAGUAACUGUUCAUUCGAUGACGGUAUCUAACCAGCAAGUCACGGCUAACUACGUGCCCGCAGCCGCGGUAAUCUGAGCGGGCUGGCAAGGC
rnacentral:rRNA from 1 species